GGGCUUGUAGCUCAACCGGUAGAGCAGCGGCCUUUUAAGCCGUUGGUCGUGGGUUCGAGUCCCACCGAGCCCA
rnacentral:tRNA from 1 species